rnacentral:rRNA from 1 species
UACAGAGGGGGCAAGCGUUAUUCGGAAUUAUUGGGCGUAAAGGGCGCGUAGGCGGCAUGGCAAGUGGAUGGUGAAAUCCCUCGGCUUAACCGAGGAACCGCCGUCCAAACUGCUUCGCUUGAGACCGGGAGAGGUGAGUGGAAUUCCCGGUGUAGCGGUGAAAUGCGUAGAUAUUGGGAGGAACACCAGUGGCGAAGGCGGCUCACUGGACCGGUACUGACGCUGAUGCGCGAAAGCGUGGGGAGCAAACGGG